AGUUCAGUGGUAGAAUUCUUUCCUUCCAUGUAGGAGAUCCAGGUUCGAUUCCUGG
rnacentral:tRNA from 1 species